rnacentral:rRNA from 1 species
CAUGCAAGUCGAGCGGUAGAGAGGUGCUUGCACCUCUUGAGAGCGGCGGACGGGUGAGUAAUGCCUAGGAAUCUGCCUGGUAGUGGGGGAUAACGCUCGGAAACGGACGCUAAUACCGCAUACGUCCUACGGGAGAAAGCAGGGGACCUUCGGGCCUUGCGCUAUCAGAUGAGCCUAGGUCGGAUUAGCUAGUUGGUGGGGUAAUGGCUCACCAAGGCGACGAUCCGUAACUGGUCUGAGAGGAUGAUCAGUCACACUGGAACUGAGACACGGUCCAGACUCCUACGGGAGGCAGCAGUGGGGAAUAUUGGACAAUGGGCGAAAGCCUGAUCCAGCCAUGCCGCGUGUGUGAAGAAGGUCUUCGGAUUGUAAAGCACUUUAAGUUGGGAGGAAGGGCAUUAACCUAAUACGUUAGUGUUUUGACGUUACCGACAGAAUAAGCACCGGCUAACUCUGUGCCAGCAGCCGCGGUAAUACAGAGGGUGCAAGCGUUAAUCGGAAUUACUGGGCGUAAAGCGCGCGUAGGUGGUUCGUUAAGUUGGAUGUGAAAGCCCCGGGCUCAACCUGGGAACUGCAUUCAAAACUGUCGAGCUAGAGUAUGGUAGAGGGUGGUGGAAUUUCCUGUGUAGCGGYGAAAUGCGUAGAUAUAGGAAGGAACACCAGUGGCGAAAGGCGACCWCCUGGACUGAUACUGACACUGAKGUGCGAAAGCGUGGGGACAAACAGGRAUUAGAUACCCUGGUAGUCCACGCCGUAAACGAUGUCAACUAGCCGUUGGGAAGCCUUGAGCUCUUAGUGGCGCAGCUAACGCAUUAAGUUGACCGCCUGGGKAGUACGGCCGCAAGGUUAAAACUCAAAUGAAUUGACGGGGGCCCGCACAAGCGGUGGAACAUGUGGUUUAAUUCGAAGCAACGCGAAGAACCCUACCAUGCCGUGUGAUCCAAUGAACUUUCUCAGAGAUGGAUUGGUGCUUUCGGGACCAUUGAGACAGAUACAGCAUG